rnacentral:rRNA from 1 species
GGACUACCAGGGUAUCUAAUCCCGAUCGAUACCCGUGCCUUCGUACCUCAGCGUCAGUCUAAUAUAGUAACACGCCUUCGCCACUAAGCAUCCUCCCAAGUAUAUUAAUAUUGGUACACUACUCCUGUUAUGAUUGCUACUUCCUUUAGACUCUAGUAUAUAAAAUAUCAAAAGUACUCUUACGUAAUAACUAAAGAUUAUUAAUACAGCCUACGUACCCUUUAGACCCAUUAAUGACUAGUAACGCUUGCCUCACACGUGUUACCGCGGCUGCUGGCAC